rnacentral:lncRNA from 1 species
AUGAGAUCGUUCAGACGAGACUGUGCAAGUCCACAGCCCUGGCAGUUCCUUCCUGUGUCUCCCAGAGGGGCUGAGUUCCAGAAUAAGAGGGUUUCACCGUCCUACCCGCUCCCUCCAUCCUGUGUCUGGCUGCCAGGGCAUGUUCCUGAGCCCUUCAGGUUCCUGCUGGCUAUAGGACAGUCCCCGAGUGCUCUGGCCUGGCUCUCCAGGACGGGGAUCCCUGCCUGCCCCUUCCCCAGCAUCAGCUGUGCUGACACCUUCUGUCCCCACACACACCACUACCGUGACCACCUCCUGGCCUUUGCCCCUGCUGACCCCCUUGGUCACUCCCUCCUGCUGUCCCCUUGCCCUCUGACAAAUUCCUAUCCUCCUUGUAACCCCAGUGUGGGUGGGCAUCUUCUCCUCUUAGAACCUUCCUGGAUCCCACUCCUCACCCCCACCCCGCCCCAGCCUCCCCUGUCCCCAACCCCACCCCAGGUCUCCCCUCUCCACAGCCCCGCCCCAGCCUGCAGUCCACUCACGUCUUGUCCUAUGAGACCCUGGGUGUCUCACAUCCCACACGGCUUUAAUUUUUAUCUUCCUUACAUGUCGUUCUCCCUCAUUGAACUAGGAGAUCCCCUGACCUUGGUUUUCUUCCAGGCCCAGGAGAUACCUUGCCUGUGUUGGGAAGGGUACAAGUGUGUUGAAACCUCUGUCCGACUGAGGCGGCACGUCAGCAGGCAGGAGCCAGGGAGCCCAGGGAUGCCCGUGGGCGGUCCCUCUGCCUCCUCCCCCACACCUGCUUCUGGGCAGCCAGCGUUCAUCUCUCGGAGGCCAUGGGCCUGGGGACUGGGUUCAGGUGAGCCAUGCUGCAGGUGCUCCCCACACCUCGCAGGGCUGGCAGGAGAGGGCUAUCAGCCAGCACUCAUGGUGCCCACCCCGGGUCCAGCUGGGCCAGAACUUAUUGUUCAGAAGAAAACCAAGGCUGUUCUUUCCAGAAUCCACUUUGAAGGGUUUCCUCUUCUCCCGGGACUGCAGCUCACAGGGACCUUCCUUCAGUUGUUUAAUUUACUCUGUAACUUAUAG